GCGACCUAGCUUGGCACUGCGCCCGCCCGGCCGGAGCGAGGUCGGAGGGAGGGGCGACCGGCUCGCGGUGACCUCGAUGGGAGGGGGCCUGGCCUGCGGCUCAGGGCGCCCCCGGCUCCCUGCGCCCGGCCCUUCGCCUCCGCCGAGCGCGCCAGCACAGGAAGGCGGCGGUCAGGAGCCCCAGGCCCGCACUGAGCGCGGCCAGCGACGAGCCCUGGGCCAGGUCCAGGCGGGGUCCCCGCAGCGAGAAGGUGAUGGCCGUGGCGGCUGCACCAGCCAGCACGGCUACGGCACCGAACGGCAGAAUGCAGCGCGGCCACGAGCCCCCCGCGCCGCCGGUGACCAAGAGCAGGGCGCGCAGGGCCCCGGGGGGCUCCGGGUGCACCAGACCCGGCCCGGGUGGCGAGGCGGGCGCCGCGGGCGGAGGCUCGGGCGCGCUCAUGCCGCCAACCCGGCGGCCGCGCUCGGUGGGUGGUGUGGACGCCCGCGCAGUCCCAAUGGCGUUCCGGGCUCGCCACGUCAGAGCCCAUUGGCUCCAGAGGUGGUGACGCCAGCUGGGAGCCCGGAGAGUCAGCAGCUGCCUCUGGGUUUUGGCGGGGAAUCGGGGUGGGCGGGCAUCAGUCGGAGGAGGAGACCUGUCUUUCCUGCCCUGGACCCCUGUGUAGGGGCCUCCCCAGGACCCCCACAAAGCUAUCUAGGCCGCCUCCCUGCUCCAGGAAACCACUGUCCUCUGGGUUGGCCCCGGGAUUGGUGGAUCAUUGAGUCAGUGCACGUCUGGCUCCCAUCAGGGCCUGACCAGGGUAGAGGGGGACAGCACCCCCGUCCUCCUGAGGCAAAUAUCCAGUAGGCAUGGGGGAUGAGCCAAGUCAGCCAGUGAAAUAAGGCUGGGUAGAGACCACCUGCUCUGGAAAGCCGCACGGGUGUACAGUCCCGGCGCAGUUGGGGCUUCAAGUAAGUCAGCGGCUCCUGCAGAUAGGGGCACCUGGAGCAGCUCCUGCAUAUAAGCCUGGAG
rnacentral:lncRNA from 1 species